GAGGAAAACCUGUUACACACAAAUAGACGCUCCUACACAUACAGACUAUAAAUACUGAGCAUAGUGCUGAACAGACUGUGCUUUUUAAAAAGGCUACUCUUUGGGAGAGUAUUGACUAGAUCAGCACUUUGCUUCAGAUACCAUGGGACAGAUUUGAUAGAUUUUGAAGCUCUGAUGCAGCAUUUGCUCUUCCUGAUGAGGUAGCUGGCAUUCUGGGGUUCUGCAAACAGAGAGAUGGGUGAGAAUGGUAGUUGGCUGGCUGCAGUAGAUCUCUGCAGUAGAUUAGUUCUGCUUCUUGACUGUUCAGGAUUGGAAGAUUACAGAAAUUACAACAGCAGGAUUAAUAGAAACCAGCAGAUAGAAUACAAUAAACAAAACUUGGGUUCUUAACCUUGGGCCCUUUAGCACUCACAAUAAGCUUACAUCACUUCUGCUGUUUUACAGCAUAGCAUUCAGGAACCUCUGUUAUGAGAUGACUGCAUUGUUCAGCUAUAUUUGAGCGCAGCAUCCAGGAUCCAGCACAUCAGAAAAGUAACUGCUUUACCUCCGCCAUUCUCAGAGCUGUGGCAGUGACUUCUGGAAGUGCAGCAGCUCUUGAAGAGGUACAGAAUGCACAGCAUGUAGACUUUUGCUUCUGUGACAAUAGACACAAACCUUCCAUCCUGGUCUGAUUUGAUGAGAUUGAGAUUCAUUCUAUGCGUCUGUCAUUCCUUCAUUGACUGAAGUAUUGCAAGGUACACAUGCACACCCUCUGAAAGAGAGUUCUUCUUGAAAUAAGAAGAUGAUUGCGCUCAAUGCAAGAGUUAUGUCCUGAGUGUUCCCCAUGCAAAUUGAAGCAGCAAGCUUGUUGGAAGGGAGAUAGAGGAAGACGAUGAAGAGCACUGCUCUGCUGUGAUAUCCACUAAAGAAGAACAUUCAGGGUCCUACUUAAACUCUCCAAAUCCAGGUGAAACCACGCUGCAGCUGCCAUGCCAACACUUAAACUCUGUGUACUGCAAGCCACCAUCACGUCAGAGAAGAUGCACCAGGCACAAGAUCUAGAGUACAUCGGAUCCAAAGCGAGUAAGCUGGGAGUAUAAAGCAGAAUGGAACCAAAUUCAUCCACUGCAGUUGACGGUUACACUAGGGUCUGAAUUUGGCCCAGUGCAUUUAACCACCUUCACCAUGUUCCUGUGAUACAGCUUUUAAAUAUUUUAUAGGAUUUGGAUUUUUUGUU